UACGUAGGGGGCGAGCGUUGUCCGGAAUGACUGGGCGUAAAGGGUGCGUAGGCGGCCCGAGAGGUCCUGGGUGAAAGGCCCCGGCUCAACUGGGGAGGGUCAUUCGAUACUGUCCGACUUGAAGGUAGGAGAGAGAAGCAGAAUUCCCGGUGUAGUGGUGAAAUGCGUAGAUAUCGGGAGGAAUACCAGUGGCGAAGGCGGCUUCUUGGCCUAUUCUUGACGCUGAGGCGCGAAAGCUGGGGGAGCAAACGGG
rnacentral:rRNA from 1 species